AAUUUGUGAUCAAUUUUACCUGAUGGUGACAGCUUGGUGUAUAAGUUAGUGCUAAUGUAUAUUACUGCAUUUCAUUUCUGUGGAGCCUGUCAGCUGAGCAAAGGAGGGAAACUCAGGAUGGAGAACUCCUCCCCCUCCAUCCAUAAGUGGCACACCACUGGCCUCCUGGUGUUAUUAAAGGAAAAUUGGAAAAGUUUCCAGAAGAUUAAGCAGAAAGCUUACAACUUGCACAAGACUCUCAAUUUUCCAGUGGCUCUGACAGAAGGAUAAAUCUUCGGCUGUUUUAACUAAAAUGGACGGUCAAGUUGGUAUCCAUCGUGAAGCUAAAUGAAUAUCUGGACAGGAGUCAGACAAAGGGAAGGAGAAUCCAGGGGAAGAUGAAGCAGCUGCAGGCCUGUCUGCUACCCUAUAUCCGGGGAAGAGCCAGAAAUUGCUGACCAUAGAGAGUUACAUUGUCCAGCUUUUCCUCCACGAAAUGGAGCAGCAACAAAAGGCCAGAUCAUUCAACCUAUGCUUCCUCAAGUCUGAUAACAUUAGCGUUUCUCUCAGAUAUCAGUUCAAGUAAGGAGUUGCCAAUAGAAGCAAAGAUGCCAGGAAUCAUCGUUUUUAUUUCAGUGUCCUUACGAAGACCUUUGAGCACAAUGGAACGAUGAGGCAACAUUAAAUAUUACUGGAAUGGGGUAUGAAAGCAGCUACUAGAAAAUCCUGCAAGAAAAAUAGAUGGAGAAACUGAGUGCUAAGAGUCUUGCCUUUUAGCUGUCAACAGUUUGAAGAUGAAACAAAUCUGGAACAGCUGAUUUCUAUUGUGGCAGCUAUUACCCAUUUUUGUUAUGCAUCUGUCUCUUCCCAGACUAUAAAUUAUUUAAGGUGUGAGUCGGAGACCUAGGCAUUUCUUAUGGCCAGAACCUUAAGCAAUGUCUGGGAUAUAGCAGAUAUAACAGACUCUCAGCUAUUGCGUGAAUUAAGGAAUGAGCUUGAGAAAUACUUUUAAGUAUUUUCUUCCUGGAAAAGAGACUCCAACUGUCUUUUGUACAGUGCUUGAAACUCAUACCAUUAAUCACUCUUUGAGACUAAAGCUCUGAUAACCUGAGUGAAGAAUUGGUUACAAGGACGUUACAAUGCACCAUGCUACCUUCAGCCAUUUGUGCUUCUGCAUAAAUUGUUUUGACCGAUUAGCCAAUCAGUCACCAACAAGACCCAAAAGGAAUGAGAAUCUAAACAGAUUGUCACCAUUUGGUGGGUUUGAACACCAAGAGGAUAGAGCCUAGAGCAUUGUGGUCUGCUUUAAGACUUCUGAGAGGCAAUAAGGUAAGGUCUGAAAAACCAAGAGUCGGGAUAAACAAGUCAAUUGUGUAUACAUGGAGGUGGGAUGAAUAAAGAGGAGGAGGGGUUGAUGGAAGAAAACUGCACCCAAAAUUAUCGUGUGUCAAAGGCUGGCUGUGGAGCCGAUCUUACAACCUCAAAUAAUGUGAUCAUACUAUCACUCAGCAUAAUUUGUGCCCCCCAGUUUUGUAUGUCUAGGCUGCUUAGGAAAUUGAUGAAUAACAGAAGAUGCCACUUAUCACUGAGAUGAACCAAGUCAUCCCAGAGGGAGUACUAUUUGAAGAUGUGUGGAACAUUCUGUGAAUAUAGAAAAGGAUCCCAUACCAUGAUUCAAUUCAUGACUGUGGCUAGUAGAGAUCCACAUUUCAUGUUUUGCUAUCCAUGGGAUUUAAAUCUGCUGUCACUCUCCUUCCUAUGCAGCUUAGAUUGCUUGACCUAACAUUACAAUUAAACCUUACAUAAAUGCUAAA
rnacentral:lncRNA from 1 species